GUGGCUGUAGUUUAGUAGUAAGAUUUCUAUGUUAUGGUCGUGAAGACCUGGGCUCGAAUCUUAGCAGCCACA
rnacentral:tRNA from 1 species